rnacentral:rRNA from 1 species
GAUAAACGCUGGCGGCGUGCUUAACACAUGCAAGUCGAACGAAGUUUUUCCUUCGGGAGACACUUAGUGGCGGACGGGUGCGUAACGCGUGGGUAACCUGCCCUGUACAGGGGGACAACAGCUGGAAACGGCUGCUAAUACCGCAUAAGCCCUUAGCACUGCAUGGUGCAUAGGGAAAAGGAGCAAUCCGGUACAGGAUGGACCCGCGUCUGAUUAGCCAGUUGGCAGGGUAACGGCCUACCAAAGCGACGAUCAGUAGCCGAUCUGAGAGGAUGUACGGCCACAUUGGGACUGAGACACGGCCCAGACUCCUACGGGAGGAAGCAGUGGGGAAUAUUGCGAAAUGGAGGAAACUCUGAUGCAGCGACGCCGCGUGAGUGAAGAAGUAUUUCGGUAUGUAAAGCCCUAUCAGCAGGGAAGAAAAUGACGGUACCUGACUAAGAAGCACCGGCUAAAUACGUG